UUAAGUUAUUAAGGGCGCACGGUGGAUGCCUUGGCACUAGAAGCCGAUGAAGGACGUUACUAACGACGAUAUGCUUUGGGGAGCUGUAAGUAAGCUUUGAUCCAGAGAUUUCCGAAUGGGGAAACCCAGCAUGAGUUUGGGGUUGUAGGACACUCUAUACGGAGUUACAAAGGACGACAUUAGACGAAUCAUCUGGAAAGAUGAAUCAAAGAAGGUAAUAAUCCUGUAGUCGAAAAUGUUGUCUCUCUUGAGUGGAUCCUGAGUACGACGGAGCACGUGAAAUUCCGUCGGAAUCUGGGAGGACCAUCUCCUAAGGCUAAAUACUCUCUAGUGACCGAUAGUGAACCAGUACCGUGAGGGAAAGGUGAAAAGCACCCCGGAAGGGGAGUGAAAUAGAACCUGAAACCGUGUGCUUACAAGUAGUCAGAGCCCGUUAAUGGGUGAUGGCGUGCCUUUUGUAGAAUGAACCGGCGAGUUACGAUUUGAUGCAAGGUUAAGCAGUAAAUGUGGAGCCGUAGCGAAAGCGAGUCUGAAUAGGGCGUUUAGUAUUUGGUCGUAGACCCGAAACCAGGUGAUCUACCCUUGGUCAGGUUGAAGUUCAGGUAACACUGAAUGGAGGACCGAACCGACUUACGUUGAAAAGUGAGCGGAUGAACUGAGGGUAGCGGAGAAAUUCCAAUCGAACCUGGAGAUAGCUGGUUCUCUCCGAAAUAGCUUUAGGGCUAGCCUCAAGUGAUGAUUAUUGGAGGUAGAGCACUGUUUGGACGAGGGGCCCCUCUCGGGUUACCGAAUUCAGACAAACUCCGAAUGCCAAUUAAUUUAACUUGGGAGUCAGAACAUGGGUGAUAAGGUCCGUGUUCGAAAGGGAAACAGCCCAGACCACCAGCUAAGGUCCCAAAAUAUAUGUUAAGUGGAAAAGGAUGUGGCGUUGCCCAGACAACUAGGAUGUUGGCUUAGAAGCAGCCAUCAUUUAAAGAGUGCGUAAUAGCUCACUAGUCGAGUGACACUGCGCCGAAAAUGUACCGGGGCUAAACAUAUUACCGAAGCUGUGGAUUGUCCUUUGGACAAUGGUAGGAGAGCGUUCUAAGGGCGUUGAAGCAUGAUCGUAAGGACAUGUGGAGCGCUUAGAAGUGAGAAUGCCGGUGUGAGUAGCGAAAGACGGGUGAGAAUCCCGUCCACCGAUUGACUAAGGUUUCCAGAGGAAGGCUCGUCCGCUCUGGGUUAGUCGGGUCCUAAGCUGAGGCCGACAGGCGUAGGCGAUGGAUAACAGGUUGAUAUUCCUGUACCACCUAUAAUCGUUUUAAUCGAUGGGGGGACGCAGUAGGAUAGGCGAAGCGUGCGAUUGGAUUGCACGUCUAAGCAGUAAGGCUGRGUAUUAGGCAAAUCCGGUACUCGUUAAGGCUGAGCUGUGAUGGGGAGAAGACAUUGUGUCUUCGAGUCGUUGAUUUCACACUGCCGAGAAAAGCCUCUAGAUAGAAAAUAGGUGCCCGUACCGCAAACCGACACAGGUAGUCAAGAUGAGAAUUCUAAGGUGAGCGAGCGAACUCUCGUUAAGGAACUCGGCAAAAUGACCCCGUAACUUCGGGAGAAGGGGUGCUCUUUAGGGUUAACGCCCAGAAGAGCCGCAGUGAAUAGGCCCAAGCGACUGUUUAUCAAAAACACAGGUCUCUGCUAAACCGUAAGGUGAUGUAUAGGGGCUGACGCCUGCCCGGUGCUGGAAGGUUAAGAGGAGUGGUUAGCUUCUGCGAAGCUACGAAUCGAAGCCCCAGUAAACGGCGGCCGUAACUAUAACGGUCCUAAGGUAGCGAAAUUCCUUGUCGGGUAAGUUCCGACCCGCACGAAAGGCGUAACGAUUUGGGCACUGUCUCAACGAGAGACUCGGUGAAAUCAUAGUACCUGUGAAGAUGCAGGUUACCCGCGACAGGACGGAAAGACCCCGUGGAGCUUUACUGUAGCCUGAUAUUGAAAUUCGGCACAGCUUGUACAGGAUAGGUAGGAGCCUUUGAAACGUGAGCGCUAGCUUACGUGGAGGCGCUGGUGGGAUACUACCCUAGCUGUGUUGGCUUUCUAACCCGCACCACUUAUCGUGGUGGGAGACAGUGUCAGGCGGGCAGUUUGACUGGGGCGGUCGCCUCCUAAAAGGUAACGGAGGCGCUCAAAGGUUCCCUCAGAAUGGUUGGAAAUCAUUCAUAGAGUGUAAAGGCAUAAGGGAGCUUGACUGCGAGACCUACAAGUCGAGCAGGGUCGAAAGACGGACUUAGUGAUCCGGUGGUUCCGCAUGGAAGGGCCAUCGCUCAACGGAUAAAAGCUACCCCGGGGAUAACAGGCUUAUCUCCCCCAAGAGUUCACAUCGACGGGGAGGUUUGGCACCUCGAUGUCGGCUCAUCGCAUCCUGGGGCUGUAGUCGGUCCCAAGGGUUGGGCUGUUCGCCCAUUAAAGCGGUACGCGAGCUGGGUUCAGAACGUCGUGAGACAGUUCGGUCCCUAUCCGUCGUGGGCGUAGGAAAUUUGAGAGGAGCUGUCCUUAGUACGAGAGGACCGGGAUGGACAUACCUCUGGUGUACCAGUUGUCGUGCCAACGGCAUAGCUGGGUAGCUAUGUGUGGACGGGAUAAGUGCUGAAAGCAUCUAAGCAUGAAGCCCCCCUCAAGAUGAGAUUUCCCAACUUCGGUUAUAAGAUCCCUCAAAGAUGAUGAGGUUAAUAGGUUCGAGGUGGAAGCAUGGUGACAUGUGGAGCUGACGAAUACUAAUCGAUCGAAGACUUAAUCAA
rnacentral:rRNA from 1 species